UAAGACGAAGGUGGCGAGCGUUGUUCGGUGUUACUGGGCUUAAAGGGUGUGUAGGCGGAUACGUUAGCGUCAUGUGAAAUCCCUCGGCUUAACCGAGGAAUUGCUUGGCGAACUGCGUAUCUUGAGGCAGGUAGGGGUCAGUGGAACUCUUGGUGGAGCGGUGGAAUGCGUAGAUAUCAAGAGGAACGCCGGUGGAGAAAUCGGCUGACUGGGCCUGUUCUGACGCUGAGACACGAAAGCGUGGGUAGCGAACGGGAUUAGAUACCCCGGUAGUCCACGCCGUAAACGAUGUCUACUAGGUUGCGGAGGUUCUGACGCCGUCGCGACCGAAGCAAAAGUGUUAAGUAGACCGCCUGGGGAGUACGGUCGCAAGGCUA
rnacentral:rRNA from 1 species